rnacentral:misc_RNA from 1 species
UAUUAGAGCCUACAGAAGGUUCACCACACGCUACUUGCUCUACAUCGACAGCAAUUACUUUUCCACGCUUCCUUUCGUUUCAGUUUCUCGCGUCUCGCUUCCUCUCGUACUUUCGAUUUCUCCGUUUUUAUUCGUAAUUAAUCAGUUCUAACUUCAACCGUUUGCCCUUAUUUGUGGUGUAUUUUUACGCGCGUUGAAUUUGAAAAGCUAAAACUAAAAAUAAACUAG